AAGACUAUAUGUAACAACAAUUAGUGUGGACAUCACCGCGCAGGGUGUAUUAUAAGAGAUCUCUACUCGUACCCAAGCAGAAUCUCGAACGCAUUGGGCAGAACGUGCCUGUUCUGUCGGAUAACCAAUGCACUUGUAAAUAGUUUAUAAAUAUAUGGUUUAUCGUUUAACUGGCUAACACCACAACCUGGCUAGCAAGAACCCUUACCCCACAUCCCGAAAAACGAAAUGUAGAAAAGAAGAGCCCCCGUUUUGAUUUUGUGCAAGUAUGUUGGCAUUUAUUUAGAGAAUUACGUAUGUUUAAAAGGCAACCAGACUGGGAUUAAUGGUCUCGAUUGAACACUUAGUUUGCUUAGCGGGUUGCAUUCAAUAUGCACGGAAAGCGAUCCCCAAAAUUAUUGUAUAACGAAUCCGAGGUAGUCGCAGAUAAAGGUAAAGAAACCGAAAGAAGUAUUAAAGCUCAAAGAAUAACCGAUACUGUCAUUAAAAUAUACAACUUCCGAAUCUUACAACUCGAGAUAACUGGCACAGUUGGCCAGGACGUUUUUACAAACUAAGCUGAAUUCUAAUCGCAAAUGGACACAAGGAGAUCAACCAAAACAAGGGAUGUACAUAAGUAGUCGACAAUAUACUUACAAAAAACCAAAUCGAAACUUCUAACGCAGCUGUCAUCUAAACAAUUUCACCUACCACUAGCCAUUGUCCACUUGAAGGUCAGCAUGUGCCCCAAGAUCCCCCCGACAUCGUGGGGUGGGGAUCAUCCAGAGACUCCGACAUCAUCAAGAGCCGAAACCAAUGCUAAACGGAAAUAUUCUGAGACAUUAAGGACAAUACAGUGAAGUCUUUUGCUUUUGAUACAACUAAAUUGAGAACGUGACGUGGCAUGCAUUUUAACCUACAGAAGUGUCCGGAUACAAUUUUCUACAAUCAACCAAAUGGAAUUCUACACAAAAUUAAACGACGUAUAGAUACAUAAACAGAGUUGAAACAUUUUGCUACAAAAUCGAAUGAUAACGAUCAUAUAUAUUGACGACAAUGUGUGAGGAAACAUGAUAGUAACUUGAGAAACCAAACUAAAAUGCUUCAAAAUGAUUGUAGUACUUCCCGCCGUUAAUAUUUUUUAAUAUAUCGUACAUACUACAGAUACAGAUGCAAGUCUUAAUAAUAAUACUUAUACUAAGAGGCAAUAAGUAAGAUCUUUCCGCUGCUAAAAUUGUCUUUCAAAAUACUUCCAUAGGCCCGGUAUGUUUGCCUUUUGUGGCUCCUCAAUUUUUGUUUCCCAGAUAAUAGCCGAAAAAUCGAUCUACUUGCUCCCUUGCUAAGACAAAAGGAAAGUAAAGUUAAGUGCGAAAUUGAACACUAAUCGGAGUGGAGGUGUUAGGUAUACGUUCAGCCCGAUCAAUGCGAUUAAGUCAAAUUAAAUUAGUUUUGUACUUAGCAGUAACUAUCUUCUAGGCAUAUUUUACGCUGAGAGUAUCUAUUCGUUUAGCCCUUUUGCCCUUCUUUGAUUUGUAAAACUACACGCGUCUUAUACUAUAUCAUAAAUUAUAGGAAAAUGGUAUUAUGAUAAAUUGAAUUUUUAACCAAAAUUGUAAGCAAAUUGUAUUAGGCGUCAAAUUUUAGAAGAGAGUGUAAACCCAGAGGCCACGAGCUGAGGGCGACACAUUGAAUAGAUAUAUGUUAUGUGUAUGGGCUGAAACCACAUUCACACACGGCAACAAAUUAAUCUUAAUUACUUAAAACGAUGAUAAUAAAUGAUACUAAAUAAUAACUGAAUAACCACAAAGCUAAUUUAUGCAAUACAGGAAUAUUGAAUACUGAAAAUUAUGCGUCAAUAAAACGUUUAGGCAAGAUUGUAUUGUAAUAUCUAAUCGUAAUUGUACUCGUAAUCGCAUGCCUACUCCCCACUGGUGAAAAUCGGUUAGACCCUGUCGUAUAUGAGUGUAGUUAAAAUAUACAUAUUUACCUAACACAAGUCGAUAGGAAUGGGAACAGGACCGGACGAAAGUCGAUCGGGAUUGGAGAUCCGUAUAGUUUGCAGGCCCUGACGGUCCGCGAUUUGUUGUAAGCGAUUAUAGGCGGGUGUGGGUGGUGGGGAGAGCUUUCGUUUCCCAGUGUAAGUGUUACAAUGUGUUAGGAUUGAUUUUUUACCUUCUACAGUCUCUAAAUCUCGAAAAGACUUCGCCGCAAUUAGUCUAACUCAACUUAUUAUAUGUAAAUGUACGGUACAUGUGUGUAUGUACCUAAAUAACAGCGACAGAAUAUUCCGAAAGCCACUUUAAAGUCUCCUGCUUUGCCCACGCAACCAUUCAUAGAGCAAACUUCAUACCAACAUCUCUGUAAAGCAAACUGCUAUCACACCGUUAAGUUACCCGAAAAUUCAUAUAUCAUUAUCAGGUGUAAAUGAAUACUUUUUGUGUGGAGUCACCCAAGGGUUCGAACUAUGGGCUAAGAGCUAUUUAGCUAUAGAUUGACUAGGUAUACAUCCGAAAAAGAGCGACGGAGAGUAAAUCGUAGUGCAAAUUGUAGACGAAAUAUUGCCAUAGAACGGAGGCGUUACUCCUCUAGGGAGUGUACAGCCAUAAUUCUCCCGAUUAAGUUGUCGCACGCAUUCCAAGAGCAGAAAGUCAGAACUUUUUAGAAUUAUUGCCUUUGGUUGAAAAUAAAAGGAAAUAAGAGUACGCACGCCUACCAGCAACAAAAAUAAUGAUGACAACAUACUAACCCGAAUCGGAUGGACAAUCCUGAGGGAUCGCGUAAAGUAAUGCUUAGCUUUGUGUUAAAUUGCUGUUGAAUAUAAAUGUACUUGUACAAUGAUAAUAAUUACGAUGGCAUUAAACACACUGACACAACAGAUCAUUAACAAGCCCCACAAACAAUAACAGUUCAGAAAACAGAACCCAAAUCCGAAAGAAACUAAUUAUAAUAAAAUAAAGAAUAUAAAACGUUA